CGGCUCGCCUGCAAUUGUGCCGUUGAAACGAUAUGUUGAUGAUAAUUUUUUCCUUUUGUUAAUAAUAAAGUGAACCGUUCAUGCGUCGCGACGUGAUUACUUUCAGUCGCGAUUUAUUGUCAGAUAGGGAUGCUUGUUGACCUUGGGAGUUUGAACGUCUGGUUCUUUUACUUUGUUCAAUUUCAUCGUUUCUGUACGGAUGUAAGGUGUGCGUAUAAUAGUGUUGAAUUAUUCAAGUCGCUGUACGGAAUAUCAAGAUCGGCACGUCAAUGACACAUGAUAUUCACGUGUACCACACGUAGGAGUCAUGCUCCUGCGGCAUCAGUGUGUGGCAAGAAGCUGUUCGACUGAAGAGUUUUCGCAUCAGUUCUUCGGCUAGACGUAGCCGGACUUAACGUCGCGUUGUUAGAACGCUGAACGUUUAACAACAAGAGUUUUCCUCGACGUUGGGAGCGUUAUUCGCAAAUUUUUCCGUGACCCGAGUCAGGCCAACGGUCAACGGUCAAGGAAAAAGAUUAUCGCCAUGGUGAAUUCAAUAACGCGACUGGCUGCAGCUGUAUUGUCUAUCGCUGCAUUUCUAGUCUCUGAAGCAGUAUCGUUUCAGAUGCACUGGAAGAAAACUGCACCGACUUCCAGGGUGGCACAGUUAGACAUGGCCUCCUCUACGUACCAGGUCCUGCGGUAUGCAGCUUGUGCGUUUGCUACCAUUCCGAGCCGAUGUGGUGCAAGGCCAUUUACUGCACCCCACCAUACGUAAGUGAGCUCUGAUACUACGCCACCUGUAACAACCGACAGAAACGUCAUCAUUUUUAUUUAGCAUAGUCGACAGGUUACCACCGCAUUUCGUUGUAAACUUCUUUUCCUUUUUCGGAAUGUCGCGAUGUCGGAGGAAUAGCGAAUGUACUUGAGGGUUACUGAACUACAACGUAAUUAAAGAACCAUUACGUCCAAAAUUAACUUUUAAAGUUACCAAUUUAAAAAAUAACAAAAUUGAUUUUAAUCUAUAAAAUGCAAUUGCUAAAACACCAAAAACAAUGCGAUAGUAGUUCCAAAUUACAAACACCACCUGGUGAAAAAAUAAUGCGCAAUUGUUGUUGGUACACGAAGGCGAGCGUGUAUGAUUCUUCUUAUAGCUAUACUUGUUAGCGAAGCCCUUUCGUGGUUUGUCGUGUCAAGAUGAAGAGGAUUAGGCCAAGGGUAAUGUUUACACAAUAUGCAGAGGUUCUCUCGUCUCCACUCAAAGGGAACGACGAUUUAUAUUUACGAACAGAGUUUUGAAGCGUGUGGAAUCCGGCGAAACUGGUUUCGAAAAGCCAAAGCUUUACUGGAUAAUUCUCCACAUCAUUCGGAAUCCCUAACAUCUGAUUUAUAACUCCUUCAUGAGUGGGUGUAAUUUCUAUCACAUGUGUUCAAUCCUACACGUAAUUCAGACUACAGCUACUCGAUCGACGCGUAAAUUGAACUACUCAAAAAUGUUCGUUCACGUAACUUUUUAAAAAUAUCCUUGGAUACAUUUUUUACUUUUAUAUUUUUUAUCUUCAACUCUCUUAAAUCUUCACUGAGACUUAUAACUAUAGUUUUUACUAAUUAUUCAAUUGUGCCAUGGUUAAAGUUGAAAUUUACGUUUUGCAAUAUGCUGCAGUCUGCAGUGAUCUCUCGGCAAAAUUUUAUUGUCAAAACACCUUUACAUCCAAUGAGUUUCAAUUUGAUUAUUUAUUCAGAGGAGUUUUACUACAGACCACGAUUUCUCUGAUCGCCAAUUUUUUUUUUUUUCACCAGUUUGUGAACAGCUACUUUGCAAGGCUGGUAAUUACCACCCAAUAUCAGAAUUAGUCAUUAAUUUUUUUAAAGAAUUUAGAAAAAAAUGGCCAGUUGGACGUUAUAGAAGCAGAGAACAAUCAAAUAAGAUUCCAGUGUGUUUUGAAGCUUGUGAGACGCUUAUUCCUUUCGAAUUACUGGUAAUUGAAUCAACACUAGAAUUAGAAUGAAACUUAGAACACAUCAGAGAUCAAAUCAGGACGUCUCGGCAUUUAGUCAAAUUCUGAUGUGAUCUGUAUGAUACUAAUAGAGUACGAUGCAAUUAGAAUGAAAACUAGUUAUUUUUGCCAGUCUUCUUCUCACAGAGUCGAUGUUAUGAGAAAAUUUUACAAUGUAAAUACUUGAACAACGCUGUCUGAAAUAAAUAUUUGUAAAGUGAAGUCUA